rnacentral:rRNA from 1 species
AUUGAACGCUGGCGGUAGGCCUAACACAUGCAAGUCGAACGCGAAAGUCCUUCGGGAUGAGUAGAGUGGCGGACGGGUGAGUAACGCGUAGGAAUCUAUCCUGUAGUGGGGGAUAACGUUUCGAAAGGAACGCUAAUACCGCAUACGCCCCACGGGGGAAAGCGGGGGAUCUUCGGACCUCGUGCUAUAGGAGGAGCCUGCGUCGGAUUAGCUAGUUGGUGAGGUAAAGGCUCACCAAGGCGACGAUCCGUAGCUGGUCUGAGAGGAUGAUCAGCCACACCGGAACUGAGACACGGUCCGGACUCCUACGGGAGGCAGCAGUGGGGAAUAUUGCGCAAUGGGCGAAAGCCUGACGCAGCCAUACCGCGUGUGUGAAGAAGGCCUGGUUCGUAAGCACUUCUAGU